GACGAACGCUGGCGGCGUGCUUAACACAUGCAAGUCGAGCGGUAAGGCCCUUUCGGGGGUACACGAGCGGCGAACGGGUGAGUAACACGUGGGUGACCUGCCUUUAGCUCUGGGAUAAGCCUGGGAAACUGGGUCUAAUACCGGAUAUGACUCCAUGAUGCAUGUUGUGGGGUGGAAAGCCUUGUGCGGCUGGAGAUGGGCCCGCGGCCUAUCAGCUUGUUGGUGGGGUGAGGCCUACCAAGGCGACGACGGGUAGCCGGCCUGAGAGGGCGACCGGCCACACUGGGACUGAGACACGGCCCAGACUCCUACGGGAGGCAGCAGUGGGGAAUCUUGCGCAAUGGGCGAAAGCCUGACGCAGCGACGCCGCGUGAGGGAUGACGGCCUCGG
rnacentral:rRNA from 1 species